rnacentral:rRNA from 1 species
GAUGAACGCUGGCGGCGUGCUUAACACAUGCAAGUCGAGCGAAAAUAAUUAGGAGCUUGCUCUUGAUUAUUUUAGCGGCGGACGGGUGAGUAACGUGUGGGCAACCUGCCUUUUACUGGGGAAUAAUCACUGGAAACGGUGACUAAUACCGCAUACGGUUCUUGGAAGGCAUCUUCUAGGAAAGAAAGGAUUUAUUCGGUAAAAGAUGGGCCCGCAUCUGAUUAGCUAGUUGGUGAGAUAAUAGCCCACCAAGGCAACGAUCAGUAGCCGACCUGAGAGGGUGACCGGCCACAUUGGGACUGAGACACGGCCCAA